UACGUAGGGGGCAAGCGUUGUCCGGAUUUAUUGGGCGUAAAGAGCGUGUAGGCGGCCACGCAGGUCCGCUGUGAAACCUCGAGGCUCAACCUCGAGCUGUCGGUGGAAACCGCGUGGCUAGAGUCCGGAAGAGGAGAAUGGAAUUCCCGGUGUAGCGGUGAAAUGCGCAGAUAUCGGGAAGAACACCCGUGGCGAAGGCGGUUCUCUGGGACGGUACUGACGCUGAGACGCGAAAGCGUGGGGAGCGAACAGGAUUAGAAACCCGAGUAGU
rnacentral:rRNA from 1 species